rfam:Gossypium arboreum cultivar AKA8401 contig_3297_3, whole genome shotgun sequence.
AAUCCAUGCAUUGAACAUUUCUGAAUUAACUCUUUAAAUCGUUCCCAAGCUUCAUAUAAUGUUUCAUCUUCUAAUUGUCAAAAAGAUGUGAUGUCAUUACUUAAAUU